CGGGCCCCCAGGGCGUACCACCACUCGCCCAGGAUCUUGCUGACCGUCCUGUUGUCCUGGUUCGGGUGCCUUUGGUGCACCAAAGCCCGGUGCCUUUUGCUGAAGAUCAUGAAGGCGUUCAUCGGGCGCCGGAUGUGGUCCUUUUCCCUCUUGCUGGGGCUCCGCCCCUCCUUGUCCCCCUCCCUGGGCAGGGCGCUCAGCGAUUGGGUGCGGCGCUUCCCGGGGGGAGGGCAGCGGCAGCUCGGGGGGCACGAUGGACAAAAACC
rnacentral:lncRNA from 1 species